rnacentral:rRNA from 1 species
GACGAACGCUGGCGGCGUGCUUAACACAUGCAAGUCGAACGGAAAGGCCCGGCUUUUGUGGGGUGCUCGAGUGGCGAACGGGUGAGUAACACGUGAGUAACCUGCCCUUGACUUUGGGAUAACUUCAGGAAACUGGGGCUAAUACCGGAUAGGAGCUCCUGCUGCAUGGGGGGGGUUGGAAAGUUUCGGCGGUGGUGGAUGGUCUCGCGGGUUAUCAGCUGGUUGGGGGGGUAGUGGCGUACCAAGGCUUUGACGGGUAGGCGGCCUGAGAGGGUGACCAGCCUCCUUGCGCCUACGGUACGGACCAGUCGGCUACCGGCGGCAACGGGGGGGAAUCUUGCGCAAUAGGCCGGCGCCUGAUACGGCGACCCCGCGUGCGUGAUACCCGGCUUCGGGUUGUGAACCGAUUUCUACUUUACCGAACCCAUCUUGACGGUAAUUGGUCAGAAAGCCACGGCUAACUACGUG